rnacentral:rRNA from 1 species
GCCUGCAUGAAGUUGGAAUUGCUAGUAAUCGCGAAUCAGAAUGUCGCGGUGAAUACGUUCCCGGGCCUUGUACACACCGCCCGUCACACCAUGAGAGUCGAUAACACCCGAAGCCUGUGAGCUAACCGUAAGGAGGCAGCAGUCGAAGGUGGGGUUGAUGAUUGGGGUGAAGUCGUAACAAGGUAAC